rnacentral:rRNA from 1 species
CCUACGGGCGGCAGCAGUGGGGAAUAUUGCACAAUGGGGGAAACCCUGAUGCAGCAACGCCGCGUGCGUGAAGAAGGAUUUCGGUAUGUAAAGCUCUAUCAGCAGGAGAGAAAAUGCCAGUACGUGACUAAGAAGCAACGGCUAACUACGUGCCAGCAGCCGCGGUAAUACGUAGGGUGCCAGCGUUAUCCGGAUUUACUGGGUGUAAAGGGAGCGUAGACGGCUGCGCAAGUCAGAAGUGAAAGCCCGGGGCUCAACCGCGGGACUGCUUUUGAAACUGUGUAGCUAGAGUGCAGUAGAGGUAAGUGGAAUGCCUGGUGUAGCGGUGAAAUGCUUAGAUAUUA